UACGAAGGGGGCUAGCGUUGCUCGGAAUCACUGGGCGUAAAGCGCACGUAGGCGGGUCCUUAAGUCAGGGGUGAAAUCCCGGAGCUCAACUCCGGAACUGCCUUUGAUACUGGGGAUCUUGAGUCCGGAAGAGGUGAGUGGAACUCCGAGUGUAGAGGUGAAAUUCGUAGAUAUUCGGAAGAACACCAGUGGCGAAGGCGGCUCACUGGUCCGGUACUGACGCUGAGGUGCGAAAGCUAGGGGAGCGAACGGG
rnacentral:rRNA from 1 species